UGUGAAUGAUGACUCUUUUACCCUGACUGACGUGGAGGCGAAAAACUGAUUUAAUGAGCCUGAUAC